rnacentral:lncRNA from 1 species
AUCUCUACAAUUUAUAUAAUUUCUCAUUUUCUGCUCUUCUAUCAAUAGACAACUCCCCUCAAUUUACAUUCUGGAACUCCAUAUCACAGUUGGUAGACUGUGCUGGGCUUAGCCCGUUGUUUUGCGAAUGGAGUAGUGAUCUUUUCAAUACAUCCCAGAUCCCAGCUUUUGAUUUUUUGGAGGAGUGUCUUGAUUGUUUUUAGUUUUACUGGAGAUUCUUGUGAUGGGAAGAACUACGAACUUAUUGAGUCCUGUUGGUAUCUCCGACUUUACUAUAAACUCCAAUUCAUCCUUUAGGGCUUUCCUAGCAUUUCUCUGACUCAUUCAAAACAUGAGGAAACUCUG